rnacentral:rRNA from 1 species
CAACUUUCAACAACGGAUCUCUUGGUUCUGGCAUCGAUGAAGAACGUAGCGAAAUGCGAUACGUAGUGUGAAUUGCAGAAUUCAGUGAAUCAUCGAAUCUUUGAACGCACAUUGCGCCCUUUGGUAUUCCAAAGGGCAUGCCUGUUCGAGCGUCAUUU